GGGGAUGUAGCUCAGUGGUAGAGUGCUUGCCUAGCAAGCACAAGGCCCUGGGUUCGGUCCCCAGCUCCG
rnacentral:tRNA from 1 species